rnacentral:rRNA from 1 species
GAUGAACGCUGGCGGCGUGCCUAAUACAUGCAAGUCGAGCGAACGGACGAGAAGCUUGCUUCUCUGAUGUUAGCGGCGGACGGGUGAGUAACACGUGGAUAACCUACCUAUAAGACUGGGAUAACUUCGGGAAACCGGAGCUAAUACCGGAUAAUAUUUUGAACCGCAUGGUUCAAAAGUGAAAGACGGUCUUGCUGUCACUUAUAGAUGGAUCCGCGCUGCAUUAGCUAGUUGGUAAGGUAACGGCUUACCAAGGCAACGAUGCAUAGCCGACCUGAGAGGGUGAUAGGCCACACUGGAACUGAGACGCGGUCCAGACUCCUACGGGAGGCAGCAGUAGGGAAUCUUCCGCAAUGGGCGAAAGCCUGACGGAGCAACGCCGCGUGAGUGAUGAAGAUCUUCGGAUCGUAAAACUCUGUUAUUAGGGAAGAACAUAUGUGUAAGUAACUGUGCACAUCUUGACGGUACCUAAUCAGAAAGCCACGGCUAACUACGUG